GACAGAAGAUGCAAACGUUGUUCGGAAUUACUGAACGUAAAGCGCGUGUAGGCGGCUAUGCAAGUCGGAUGUGAAAGCCCUCGGCUCAACCAAAGAAGUGCACCCGAAACUGCAAAGCUAGAGUCUCGAAGAGGAUCGUGGAAUUCUCGGUGUAGAGGUGAAAUUCGUAGAUAUCGAGAGGAACACCAAUGGCGAAGACGGCGAUCUGAACGAUGACUGACGCUGAAACGCGAAAGCGUGGGAAGCAAACAGG
rnacentral:rRNA from 1 species